CAGAACACCUUAAGGCGAACGAGACCAAAUCUUCUGCUACGCUCGUAGAGAUUCGAGAGCUUAAUCUUUCGGACGCGGGUUCGAUUCCCGCCAUCUCCACCU
rnacentral:tmRNA from 1 species